UGAGUAAUGCUUAGGAAUCUGCCUAUUAGUGGGGGACAACAUCUCGAAAGGGAUGCUAAUACCGCAUACGUCCUACGGGAGAAAGCAGGGGAUCUUCGGACCUUGCGCUAAUAGAUGAGCCUAAGUCGGAUUAGCUAGUUGGUGGGGUAAAGGCCUACCAAGGCGACGAUCUGUAGCGGGUCUGAGAGGAUGAUCCGCCACACUGGGACUGAGACACGGCCCAGACUCCUACGGGAGGCAGCAGUGGGGAAUAUUGGACAAUGGGGGGAACCCUGAUCCAGCCAUGCCGCGUGUGUGAAGAAGGCCUUUUGGUUGUAAAGCACUUUAAGCGAGGAGGAGGCUACUCUAGUUAAUACCUAGGGAUAGUGGACGUUACUCGCAGAAUAAGCACCGGCUAACUCUGUGCCAGCAGCCGCGGUAAUACAGAGGGUGCAAGCGUUAAUCGGAUUUACUGGGCGUAAAGCGCGCGUAGGUGGCCAAUUAAGUCAAAUGUGAA
rnacentral:rRNA from 1 species